AUGUACAUAACUCAACAAACAUGAAGUAAACACAGUGGACAUUUUUGUUACCCUCUUCCUCUCCAUCUAUAUAACAACUCCUUUUCCCCUCUCGAUGUUAUCCAGCAACCAUAUCAACACCCCUGAAUCACCCACCGUCACUUGAUCCCUCCCUUCUCUCCCUCGUCUCCUGCUCGGCAGCCACACCGGCCGGCUGUCGGAGCUGGUGUUCCGGUGACACACACUCACCCGCGACACCUACCCCCACCCCCUCAAAUGAACAACCGACAACCAUCAUUUUCGGUGACAAACGCCACACACGGCGGCGACGCGGUAACAGAAUCAGAGAGACAAAGAUCGAGGAUGUUUGGGAUGGAAUCGGGGAGCCGACUUCACCAGCGAUGUCACCGGCGACCAACGUCGUGAGCGGCGGCAGUCCAUGUCUCUGGUCCGACAAGUCUUUCCGACGAUGAUGAUGGUUAGACGAGUGGUGAUGAUGACGGGUAUGGGUUGUGGUUGAUGGCGGUGCCGCCAGAGCCACACAACAGAGGUGGUAAGAUCCUGAUUUGGGUGUUCGGGUCAACCCCGGACAACCCGGUCAGAUGUGGGUUCGGGUCAACGGGCCAAGCUGGUCAAAACGGGUCAGUCGGUUCGGUUCGAGUUCAGUCAAAGAAAGUCAACAGCAGAACAAGUGGUCAACGGCUCCGGUUCGGCUUCGUUUCAUGGUCAGACGGCUCGGUUCAGUUUGACUCGGUCAACCGAGUCAACUCAGCCGGUCAACUCGGUCAACCCGUUUACAUUUCGACACGAAGAGUGGUAAAAAUUUUAUGGCGAAAUUCAUUUCAUUAUUCGUAUACUUUCAUGUUUCUACACGUGAAAAACGAGCUCGAACCAAUCGGCGAGAAUACAGUUAAAUUAUGAUAUAUUUGGCGAAAAUUAUAUCUUUGGAUUGAUUAAUUUUGAAUUAAU
rnacentral:lncRNA from 1 species